UGGGGAAUAUUGCACAAUGGGGGAAACCCUGAUGCAGCGACGCCGCGUGAGUGAAGAAGUAUUUCGGUACGUAAAGCUCUAUCAGCAGGGAAGAAAAUGACGGUACCUGACUAAGAAGCCCCGGCUAACUACGUGCCAGCAGCCGCGGUAAUACGUAGGGGGCAAGCGUUAUCCGGAUUUACUGGGUGUAAAGGGAGCGUAGGUGGCAAGUCAAGUCAGAUGUGAAAGCCCGGGGCUCAACUCCGGGAUUGCAUUUGAAACUGGUUUGCUAGAGUGCAGGAGAGGUAAGUGGAAUUCCUAGUGUAGCGGUGAAAUGCGUAGAUAUUAGGAGGAACACCAGUGGCGAAGGCGGCUUACUGGACUGUAACUGACACUGAGGCUCGAAAGCGUGGGGAGCAAACA
rnacentral:rRNA from 3 species